CCCAUGCGAUUAGAACGGAUCUUCGGGAUUCGUGGCGUGACGGCUGAGUAACACGUGGGAACGUGCCCUUUGUGUUCGGACACAACUCAGUGCAAACUUGAGCUAACUACCGGAUGUGCCCUUCGGUGGUGAAAGAUUUAUCGCCAUUGGAGCGGCCCGCGUCUGAUUAGCUAGUUGGUGGGGUAAAGGCCCACCAAGGCGACGAUCAGUAGCUGGUCUGAGAGGAUGACCAGUCACACUGGGACUGAGACACGGCCCAGACUCCUACGGGAGUGCAGCAGUGGGGAAUAUUGGACAAUGGGCGCAAGCCUGAUCCAGCAAUGCCGCGUGUGUGAAGAAGGCCUUCGGGUUGUAAAGCACUUUCAAUCUGGGAAGAAAAGCAUUCGGUUAAUACCCGGAUGUCUUGACGGUACCGAUACAAGAAGCCACCGGCUAACUCCGUGCCAGCAGCCGCGGUACUACGGAGGGUGCCAGCGUAAAUCGAGAAUUACUGGGCGUCAAGCGCACGCAGGCGGUUCGGUAAGUCAGAUGUGACAAGCCCAGAGCUCAACCUGAGAACCUGAUUAGACACUGGGAGACUAGA
rnacentral:rRNA from 1 species